UACGUAGGGGGCAAGCGUUGUCCGGAUUUACUGGGUGUAAAGGGUGCUCAGGUGGUUGUGUAAGUCAGGGGUGAAAUCCUGGGGCUUAACUCCGGAACUGCCCUUGAUACUACACAGCUUGUGUACGGAAGAGGCUGAUGGAAUUCCUGGUGUAGCAGUGAAAUGCGUAGAUAUCAGGAAGAACACCAGUGGCGAAGGCGGUCAGCUGGUCCGUUACAGACACUAAAGCACGAAAGCGUGGGGAGCAAAC
rnacentral:rRNA from 1 species